rnacentral:rRNA from 1 species
UACGUAGGGUGCGAGCGUUGUCCGGAAUUAUUGGGCGUAAAGAGCUUGUAGGCGGUUUGUCGCGUCUGCCGGUGAAAAUUCGAGGCUCAACCUCGAACUUGCGGUGGGUACGGGCAGACUAGAGUGUGGUAGGGGAGACUGGAAUUCUGGUGUAGCGGUGAAAUGCGCAGAUAUCAGGAGGAACACCGAGUGGCAAGGCGGUCUCUGGGCCACUACGACGCUGAGAAGCGAAAGCUGGGGAGCGAACAGGAUUAGAAC